GGGGCAUUAGCUCAGCUGGGAGAGCGCGACGCUGGCAGCGUCGAGGUCAGCGGUUCGAUCCCGCUAUGCUCCACCA
rnacentral:tRNA from 8 species